rnacentral:precursor_RNA from 16 species
UUGGAUAUCUAAGACUGCUGGCUUGUUCUUCUUCCUAUGCACAUCUGUCCUUGUAAGCUGGAGGAGGACAUGUGUGCAUAGGGAAGAGAUCAGCUAGCCAAAUCUGCAUCUACCAGA